GUCUACAGCCAUACCACCCUGAACGCACCCGAUCUCGUCUGAUCUCAGAAGCUAAGCAGGGUCGGGCCUGGUUAGUACUUGGCUGGGAGACUGCCUGGGAAUACCGGGUGCUAUAGGUU
rnacentral:rRNA from 1 species